rnacentral:misc_RNA from 1 species
AACGCACAUUGCGCCCCUCUGACGGGGGGCAUGCCUGUCUGAGCGUCGUUUAGACCCAUGAGGCUCGGAUUGAGCCCGUGCUGGGCCCCGCCCUCUGAGGGCGUCGCCUCGAACGGAUUGGUGUCCCCGAGCGGAUGAGACCCACUGGGGCUGACCGCUUGGAGGGCCAUGAUCGGACUUGACCUCAGAUCAGGUAGGACAACCGCCUGAACUUAA